AAUACUUUCUUUAAUUUAAAAAUUAAAUUUAUUAUUUUUUGUGCAGAAACAAAAAUAAAAAUUAAGGACAAGAAGACCCUAAGAAUUUUAAUUUGAUUUAAAUAAUUUAUAUUUCUUAAUCAAAUUUAAUUGGGGCGAUUGAAAAAUAUUUUUAACUUUUUUUUAAAAAAAAUAUGAACCAUUAAUAAUGGUAAUAUGAAAAAAUACUCUAGGGAUAACAGCGUAAUAAUUUUUGAUAGUUCAUAUAGACAAAAUAGUUUGCGACCUCGAUGUUGGAUUAGGAUUCUAAUUUAAUGAAGAAGUUAAAUUAAGAAGUUUGUUCAACUUUUA
rnacentral:rRNA from 1 species